rnacentral:rRNA from 1 species
UACGUAGGGUGCAAGCGUUAAUCGGAAUUACUGGGCGUAAAGCGCACGUAGGCGGCUUUGCAAGUUAGAGGUGAAAGCCCGGGGCUCAACUCCGGAAUUGCCUUUAAAACUGCAUCGCUAGAAUUGUGGAGAGGUAAGUGGAAUUCCGAGUGUAGAGGUGAAAUUCGUAGAUAUUCGGAAGAACACCAGUGGCGAAGGCGACUUACUGGACACAUAUUGACGCUGAGGUGCGAAAGCGUGGGGAGCAAACAGGG